UACAGAGGGUGCAAGCGUUAAUCGGAAUUACUGGGCGUAAAGCGCGCGUAGGCGGCCUUAUAAGUCAGAUGUGAAAUCCCCGGGCUCAACCUGGGAACUGCACCUGAUACUGUUGGGCUAGAGUUUGGGAGAGGGAAGUAGAAUUUCAGGUGUAGCGGUGAAAUGCAUAGAGAUCUGAAGGAAUACCAGUGGCGAAGGCGGCUUCCUGGCCUAAAACUGACGCUGAGGUGCGAAAGCGUGGGUAGCAAACGGG
rnacentral:rRNA from 1 species